CCUACGGGAGACAGCAGUGAGGAAUAUUGGUCAAUGGGCGCGAGCCUGAACCAGCCAAGUCGCGUGAGGGAGGACGGCCCUACGGGUUGUAAACCUCUUUUGCCGGGGAGCAACGGGCGUCACGUGUGGUGCCACUGAGAGUACCCGGAGAAAAAGCAUCGGCUAACUCCGUGCCAGCAGCCGCGGUAAUACGGAGGAUGCGAGCGUUAUCCGGCUUGAUUGGGUUUAAAGGGUGCGUAGGCGGUUCGUUAAGUCAGUGGUCAAAUUGAGGGGCUCAACCCCUUCCCGCCAUCGAAACUGGCGCUCUUGGGUGGAAGAGAAGUAUGCGGAAUGCGUGGUGUAGCGGUGAAAUGCAUAGAUAUCACGCAGAACCCCGAUUGCGAAGGCAGUAUGCCGGCUUCCGACUGACGCUGAAGCACGAAAGCGCGGGGAUCGAACAGGAUUAGAUACCCCAGUAGUC
rnacentral:rRNA from 1 species